rnacentral:rRNA from 1 species
CAAAGGAGCAAUCCGCUGAAAGAUGGGCUCGCGUCCGAUUAGGUAGUUGGUGAGGUAACGGCCCACCAAGCCGACGAUCGGUAGCCGGACUGAGAGGUUGGACGGCCACAUUGGGACUGAGACACGGCCCAGACUCCUACGGGAGGCAGCAGUAAGGGAUAUUGGUCAAUGGGGGAAACCCUGAACCAGCAACGCCGCGUGAGGGAAGACGGUUUUCGGAUUGUAAACCUCUGUCCUCUGUGAAGAUGAUGACGGUAGCAGAGGAGGAAGCUCCGGCUAACUACGUGCCAGCAGCCGCGGUAAUACGUAGGGAGCGAGCGUUGUCCGGAUUUACUGGGUGUAAAGGGUGCGUAGGCGGCUGUGCAAGUCAGUAGUGAAAUCCAUGGGCUUAACCCAUGAACUGCUAUUGAAACUGCACAGCUUGAGUGAAGUAGAGGUAGGCGGAAUUCCCGGUGUAGCGGUGAAAUGCGUAGAGAUCGGGAGGAACACCAGUGGCGAAGGCGGCCUACUGGGCUUUAACUGACGCUGAGGCACGAAAGCGUGGGUAGCAAACAGGAUUAGAUACCCUGGUAGUCCACGCUGUAAACGAUGAUUACUAGGUGUGGGGGGACUGAACCCUUCC